AUGAAUCUAAUGGUAUUGAUUUGUUAUUGUAUAUGUUAUUCUUUCUGUGAAGCGACAGACCGUCCACGUCCAUCAUCAUCGACCUCACGUCCACCGGCACCACUGAGGUCGGGGAGUCCUCCGAGGAUGAGUAGGGAAUGGGAGGCGGCAGGGCAUGGUGUGCCAACUGGCUGGUCCUAG
rnacentral:rRNA from 1 species